AGGACGAACGCUGGCGGCGUGCUUAACACAUGCAAGUCGAGCGGAAAGGCCCUUCGGGGUACUCGAGCGGCGAACGGGUGAGUAACACGUGAGUAACCUGCCCCUAGCUCUGGGAUAGCUCCGGGAAACCGGGAUUAAUACCAGAUACGACCACUUUAGACAUCUGUCGUGGUGGAAAGGAUUCCGGCUAGGGAUGGGCUCGCGGCCUAUCAGCUUGUUGGUGGGGUAACGGCCUACCAAGGCGACGACGGGUAGCCGGCCUGAGAGGGCGACGGCCACGACUGGGACUGAGACACGGCCCAGACUCCUACGGGAGGCAGCAGUGGGGAUAUUGCGCAAUGGGCGAAAGCCUGACGCAGCGACGCCGCGUGGGGGAUGAAGGCCUUCGGGUUGUAAACCCCGUUUCAGCAGGGACGAAGCGAAAGUGACGGUACCUGCAGAAGAAGCGCCGGCUAACUACGUGCCAGCAGCGC
rnacentral:rRNA from 1 species